rnacentral:rRNA from 1 species
GUAGGGAGCAAGCGUUGUUCGGAAUCAUUGGGCGUAAAGAGCGCGUAGGUGGCUUGGUAAGUCUGUUGUGAAAGCCCACAGCUCAACUGUGGAACUGCGACAGAAACUGCCUGGCUAGAGUGCGGGAGAGGAAAGUGGAAUUCCCAGUGUAGAGGUGAAAUUCGUAGAUACUGGGAGGAACACCGGUGGCGAAGGCGGCUUUCUGGACCGCAACUGACGCUGAGGCGCGAAAGCUAGGGGAGCAAACGGGGGAUUAGAUACCCCGGUAGUCCUAGCCGUAAACGAUGGGCACUAGGUGUAGGGGGUAUCGACCCCUUCUGUGCCCGUAGCUAACGCAUUAAGUGCCCCGCCUGGGGGAGUACGGUCGCAAGACUA